rnacentral:rRNA from 1 species
AUUGCACGCCGGCGGCAGGUCUAACACAUGCAAGUCGAGCGGAGCGGCGGACGGGUGAGUGAUGCCUAGGAAUCUGCGUGCUAGUGGGGGAUAACGUCCGGAAACGGGCGCUAAUACCGCAUAAUAUCAGAUGUGCCUAGGUCGGAUUAUCCAGUUGGUGGGGUAAAGGCCUACCAAGGCGACGAUCCGUAACUGGUCUGAGAGGGUGCUCAGUCACACUGGAACUGUGACACGGUCCAGACGCCUACGGGAGGCAGCAGGGGGGAAUAUUGGGCAAUGGGCGAAAGCCUGAUCCAGCCAUGCCGCGUGUGUGAAGAAGGUCUUCGGAUUGGAAAGCACUUUAAGUUGGGAGGCGUUACCAACAGAAUAAGCACCGGCUAACUUCGUGCCAGCCGCCGCGGUAAUUC